GCUUCUUCAGAGUUGAGUAAGAUUAAAAAAGCCCGACAUCUCCAAUAUUCCUCAGCAACGGUUUAUGUACCUGCAUAGACAGAUGAAAAAAGGGCUUGAGGAUGUAUUUAAAAACAUGCAUGUAUAUGAUGGAUGGUUAGAGAGAGAGCAUGCAAGAAUAUGAUACAGAUUAAUGGCUCUCUGUAUUUUUGGAGUCUUUUUGUUUCAGGCCCAUAGUUCUGGUGCAUUGGAAGGGUUCUGGAAUUUUAGAACACAAAGUAGCAGUUUUAAAUAAUGAGAGAAGAUUCCACAUGGAACGCUCAUCUGGCUGUGGCAGCCUGUGACUGAAUGAGAGAAAAGUGCCCUAGAAGCUAUUCAUUACGAAUUCACUGGAAGCUCUCAAACGAGGCUGGCAGAAGCUGAAAUUGAAGUGGUCUCUGACCUAAUUUUCUUCUGCAUGAAACAUCUGCAUCAAGGCUCUCUUUGAUGUAUUCCACUUGGCUCUGUCUAUAGGAUUGUAUCACAUGGACUCGGUGUUGCCUCCUUAUUGAAAGACAUUUCCAGCCUUUGCAAGUGCUUUCUAAUCAAAGCAAUCAGAUAUGAAGCAUUUGGGGGCAGUAGACUCUCUGAGGUCAGUGGUGAUCCAGUUCUCCAACAAGAAGAAAAUAUGGGUGCACAUUGACCUACUUGUUAUGAACCUUCACAGAAGACCCAGGGAAGGCGUUAGAGUUGGGGCCACAAGAUUCAUCUCACUGCUAAUUCAUAUUCAGCUUCUUCCCCAACAUAAUUUCUAA
rnacentral:lncRNA from 1 species